UACGAGAGGCCCAAACGUUAUUCGGAUUUACUGGGCUUAAAGAGUUCGUAGGCGGUUCGGUAAGUGAGGUGUGAAAUCCCUUGGCUCAACCAAGGAAUUGCGCUUCAAACUGCCGGGCUUGAGGGAGAUAGAGGUGAGCGGAACUGAUGGUGGAGCGGUGAAAUGCGUUGAUAUCAUCAGGAACACCAGAGGCGAAGGCGGCUCACUGGGUCUCUUCUGACGCUGAGGAACGAAAGCUAGGGGAGCAAACGGG
rnacentral:rRNA from 1 species